GUGCAAAGGUAGCAUAAUCAUUAGGGGUUUAAUUGGAACCUGGUAUGAAUGGUUGGACAAAGGAAAAGCUGUCUUUGUAAUAAAAUUGAAAUUUACAUUUAAGUGAAAAGGCUUAAAUAAUCUAAAGGGACGAUAAGACCCUAUAAAGCUUUAUAGAUAAAUUAAAUUUAAUUAAUUUAGUUGAUAAAAAUUAAGUUUAAUUAUUUUAUUUUGUUGGGGUGAUGUGAAUAUAAUUUAGAUUAACUGUUUAAAAAAGAUUCUAUAUAAUAGAGUUAUUAACAUUAAUGAUCCUUUAAUAAAGAUUAAAAGACUAAGUUACUUUAGGGGUAACAGCGUUAUUUCUUUUGAGAGUUCAUAUCGAAAAAGAAGAUUGCGACCUCGAUGUUGAAUUAAAAUAUCUAUAUAAUGCAGUCGUUAUAAAAGAAGGUCUGUUCGACCUUUAAAUUUUUACAUGAUUUGAGUUCAAACCGG
rnacentral:rRNA from 1 species